rnacentral:rRNA from 1 species
ACACAUGCAAGUCGAGCGGUAGCACAGGGGAGCUUGCUCCCUGGGUGACGAGCGGCGGACGGGUGAGUAAUGUCUGGGAAACCGCCUGAUGGAGGGGGAUAACUACUGGAAACGGUAGCUAAUACCGCAUAACGUCGCAAGACCAAAGAGGGGGACCUUCGGGCCUCUUGCCAUCAGAUGUGCCCAGAUGGGAUUAGCUAGUAGGUGGGGUAAUGGCUCACCUAGGCGACGAUCCCUAGCUGGUCUGAGAGGAUGACCAGCCACACUGGAACUGAGACACGGUCCAGACUCCUACGGGAGGCAGCAGUGGGGAAUAUUGCACAAUGGGCGCAAGCCUGAUGCAGCCAUGCUGCGUGUGUGAAGAAGGCCUUCGGGUUGUAAAGCACUUUCAGCGAGGAGGAAGGUGGUGAGCUUAAUACGUUCAUCAAUUGACGUUACUCGCAGAAGAAGCACCGGCUAACUCCGUGCCAGCAGCCGCGGUAAUACGGAGGGUGCAAGCGUUAAUCGGAAUUACUGGGCGUAAAGCGCACGCAGGCGGUUUGUUAAGUCAGAUGUGAAAUCCCCGGGCUCAACCUGGGAACUGCAUUUGAAACUGGCAAGCUAGAGUCUCGUAGAGGGGGGUAGAAUUCCAGGUGUAGCGGUGAAAUGCGUAGAGAUCUGGAGGAAUACCGGUGGCGAAAGCGGCCCCCUGGACGAAGACUGACGCUCAUGUGCGAAAGCGUGGGGAGCAAACAAGGAUUAGAUACCCUGGUAGUCCACGCUGUAAACGAUGUCGAUUUGGAGGUUGUGCCCUUGAGGCGUGGCUUCCGGAGCUAACGCGUUAAAUCGACCGCCUGGGGAGUACGGCCGCAAGGUUAAACUCAAAUGAAUUGACCGGGGGGCCCGCACAAGCGGUGGAGCAUG